rnacentral:rRNA from 1 species
GUACACUCCUGCGGGAGGCAGCAGUGGGGAAUUUUGGACAAUGGGCGAAAGCCUGAUCCAGCAAUGCCGCGUGUGUGAAGAAGGCCUUCGGGUUGUAAAGCACUUUUGUCCGGAAAGAAAUCCUUGGCUCUAAUACAGUCGGGGGAUGACGGUACCGGAAGAAUAAGCACCGGCUAACUACGUGCCAGCAGCCGCGGUAAUACGUAGGGUGCGAGCGUUAAUCGGAAUUACUGGGCGUAAAGCGUGCGCAGGCGGUUUGCUAAGACCGAUGUGAAAUCCCCGGGCUCAACCUGGGAACUGCAUUGGUGACUGGCAGGCUAGAGUAUGGCAGAGGGGGGUAGAAUUCCACGUGUAGCAGUGAAAUGCGUAGAGAUGUGGAGGAAUACCGAUGGCGAAGGCAGCCCCCUGGGCCAAUACUGACGCUCAUGCACGAAAGCGUGGUGAGCAAACAGGAUUAGAAACCCCGGUAGUCCC